CGACUAUCAGCUAUACAGAAACCAAAUAAAACUCGAAUCUCAAAUGGUGAAUUCUUUUUUUUUUUAAAGACUUUAUUUUUUUCCUUUUUCUCCCCAAAGCCCCCAGGUACAUAGCUGUAUAUUCUUCAUUGCGGGUCCUUCUAGUUGUGGCAUGUGGGACGCUACCUCAGCGUGGUUUGAUGAGAAGUGGCCACAUCUGUGCCCAGGAUUCGAACCAACGAAACACUGGGCCGCCUGCAGCGGAGCUCGAGAACUUAACCACUCGGCCACGGGGCCAGCCCCACAAAUGUGUCGACAUUUGCAGUGAUGGUGUAAAAGCACAGUGGAUGAACCUGCUGGUGCCUUAGCAUGAACCAAGGCUGUGUGACCAAAGCACAGCAGUCACUGUAUUCUUUACCACCACUAGGCACUCACGUUAAGAAAGAAAAAGGUAGUUUUACAGAAGAAUGUCCUUGAUAAAGAGUAAAAACUACUUCUUAAGUCUCAACCAUUACAUACACGUCCUUUUCAUAUUCUGAGUGAUAAAAUGGAAGUAUACAUAAAGUACUUCUGACGAAUACUAAAAUAGAAUGGUUGUCUUGAGGAAAAGCAUUAAUGCUAUUAGUGAGUUGUGGGCUAAACUAGCUGCUUUUUUCAUGGAAUGACAUUUUUACUUGAAAGAACUACUUAUUAUUCAAAAUUUGAUGUUUGGCAGACAUUUUCCCAAAAAUAAAUGAAGUGUGCCCGUCACCUCAAGGAAAACAACUAAUGGCAUUUGUCACCAAUGAUAAAAUACAACCUUUCAACUGAAAAUCAGAAUUUUGGAAAACCAAUAUCCACCACUUUUAGCCUGUUACUUUUCCAAUACUUAAAAGAUUUUUCUGAUAAGAUUGGUGUGAUAUUAAAAAAUGUGAUUUUUAAAAAUAUUAUGUCAACAUUUGGAAUACUCAAAUGACCAAUGAAUGAUAUCACAAAAUCUUGCUUAGGUAAAAGACCAAUUCAUUCAAAGUGCAAGGCAGACAAAUGGAUUUUAAUGUUACAGAGGAGAAAAAGUUCGUUGGUAGGAUUUCAGAGUGCC
rnacentral:lncRNA from 1 species